rnacentral:snRNA from 1 species
AGGUACUCCAUUAAAGAGCAUGCG